GGAGGCGUGGCUGAGUGGCCGAAAGCAGCACACUGCUAAUGUGCUAGGGAAGCAAUUCCCUCAGAGGUUCGAAUCCUCUCGCCUCCGCCA
rnacentral:tRNA from 1 species